rnacentral:rRNA from 1 species
AACAUUGGACAAUGGUGGCAACCCAGAUCCAGUCAUGCAGUGUGAGUGAAGAAGGUCUUCUGAUUGUAAAGUACAUUAAGUUGGGAGGAAGGGUCUUAGGCUAAUAGCCUGAAGUUUUGACUUUACCAACAGAAUAAGCACUGGCUAACACUCUGCCAUCAGCCGCUGUAAUACAGAGUGUGCAAGCGUUAAUCGGAAUUACUGGGCGUAAAGCUCGCAUAGGUGGUUCAGUAAGAUGGGUGUGAAAUCCCCGGGCUUAACCUGGGAACUGCUUUCAUAACUGCUGAGCUAGAGUACGGUAGAGGGUAGUGGAAUUUCCUGUGUAGCGGUGAAAUGCGUAGAUAUAGGAAGGAACACCAGUGGCGAAGGCGACUACCUGGACUGAUACUGACACUGAGGUGCGAAAGCGUGGGGAGCAAAC